rnacentral:lncRNA from 1 species
AGCGAGCCUCCCCUCUCGCGUCUGCCAGCAGGAGACGGCGCGCUGCCAGCAGCCCUGGUGGCUUUCUGCAGACCGCGUCAGAGCGGGUAGUCACACCGCACCGGCAGGCAACGGAUCACCACCGGAUACCACCCGCGGGACAAGAGACAAGGGCCGGGAAAUCACUGAUGGGAUUAAGGCCAAGGAGUUGGAAAGGCCCAUUGUGGAAGAUGAAACUACAAGCAAAAAGAUAAAAAUAACAAAUUCACGCCAGCAACCCAUGAACUAUUGGACGCUUACCUCGUUUAAGACAUCAGAUAUUAAAUGA